rnacentral:rRNA from 1 species
CUGGUUGAUCCUGCCAGUAGUCAUAUGCUUGUCUCAAAGAUUAAGCCAUGCAUGUCUAAGUAUAAGUUCUGUACUGCGAAACUGUGAAUGGCUCAUUAUAACAGUUAUUAUUCCCUGGCCGGUCAGUGAUUCCUUGGAUACCCAUGGUAAUUCUAGAGCUAAUACAUGCUUAAAAACCCGACUUCUUGAAGGGUUGCGCUUAUUAGAUACCGAACCAACCCAGGCUCUGUCUGGUUUUCGUUGAUUCAUAGUGUUCUGGCGAAUCGACUCGCAAGAGUCGAUGAGGCUAUCAAGUUUCUGACCUAUCAGCUUCCGACGGUAGGAUAUUGGCCUACCGUGGCUUUGACGGGUAACGGAGAAUUAGGGUUCGAUUCCGGAGAGGGAGCCUGAGAAACGGCUACCACAUCUAAGGAAGGCAGCAGGCGCGUAAAUUACCCAAUCCUGACACAGGGAGGUAGUGACAAGAAAUAUCAAUAUAAGACGUUUCUGCCUUGUAAUUGGGAUGAGCGAAACAUAAACCGCUUCUCGAGUAUCAAUUGGAGGGCAAGUCUGGU